UGGAUUUGGAAGGAGGAUGGAAAAGUUGCGUUGGUGAAUGAGAUUGACGGAGACGGUUUGGGAACCAUCGAGGAUGUUUGGAAGCAAAGACGUUUGGCUAAGAAGGCUCCUCCGUGACCGAAGCAACAACACUUGCACCGGAAGAGGCAGACAGUGGCGUGGUCAAGCGGCAUUUUGUCGGGAAGCUCGAGAUACCGGUGGACAGAACGGUCUCCCCGCAUUGGGCGGUUGUUAGCUAGUUGUUGAGCUUUGUUGGAAGAAAGUAAUUUAUAGGGUCGGCUUGUGUUUAAGUUUUGCCGACUGUUACCUGUUACCUAUUCUAGGGCCAGCCGCUGAA